AUUGAACGCUGGCGGCAUGCUUUACACAUGCAAGUCGAACGGUAACAGGCCUUCGGGUGCUGACGAGUGGCGAACGGGUGAGUAAUGCAUCGGAACGUGCCCAGAGGUGGGGGAUAACGCAGCGAAAGCUGUGCUAAUACCGCAUGUGAUCUGAGGAUGAAAGCGGGGGACCAGGCAGCAAUGUUUGGCCUCGCGCCUUUGGAGCGGCCGAUGUCAGAUUAGGUAGUUGGUGGGGUAAAGGCCUACCAAGUCGACGAUCUGUAGCUGGUCUGAGAGGACGACCAGCCACACUGGGACUGAGACACGGCCCAGACUCCUACGGGAGGAAGCAGUGGGGAAUUUUGGACAAUGGGCGCAAGCCUGAUCCAGCAAUGCCGCGUGCGGGAAGAAGGCCUUCGGGUUGUAAACCGCUUUUGUACGGAACGAAAAGGCUCUGGCUAAUACCUGGGGCUGAUGACGGUACCGUAAGAAUAAGCACCGGCUAACUACGUG
rnacentral:rRNA from 1 species